rnacentral:rRNA from 1 species
UAGGAUUGAAAUGUAACUAGGCUGUCAUAAGCUCAAGAUACACCUAAGAUCGCCCUUAAGAUGAUCCUAGUACCUCUGAUUAAUUCAACCCCACGAAAGCUAGGGCACAAACUGGGAUUAGAUACCCCAUUAUGCCUAGCCCUAAAUCUUGAUGCUUGCCAUACCAAAGCAUCCGCCCGAGAACUACGAGCACAAACGCUUAAAACUCUAAGGACUUGGCGGUGCCCCAAACCCACCUAGAGGAGCCUGUUCUAUAAUCGAUAACCCACGAUUCACCCAACCACCCCUCGCCAGAAGCAGCCUACAUACCGCCGUCGCCAGCCCACCUUCCCUGAGAGUCCCACAGUGAGCAUAACAGCCCAAGUCCGCUAGUAAGACAGGUCGAGGUAUAGCCCAUGGGGUGGAAGAAAUGGGCUACAUUUUCUAUAAUAGAAAACCCACGAAAGGGGACGUGAAACGGUCCCCGGAAGGCGGAUUUAGCAGUAAAGCGGGAUAAUAAAGCCCUCUUUAAGUUGGCCCUGGGGCACGUACAUACCGCCCGUCACCCUCC